AUGGCAAUAUCUUACAAAACAAUUAUUCAAGAAUUAAAAUUAUAUUCUAUUAUUCCAGAGGGGUGCAAGGCUGAAACUAGAUGGUGUAAUGUAGCAAGGCCUGGGCGCAGGGCCCAUACAAAUCAGAGUCAAAACAGUUUUUUGUUACAAGUUUCCACAUGGCCAAAAAGAGAUAAAGAUAGGGUUGAAUCAGAGGAGCUGCUUGGUCCAACCCAUCUACAUCUAACAAAAAUUCCGAACCAUAUUAUGUACGCCGCAUUACGAAUAUGA